GACAGCCAGGAUGUUGGCUUAGAAGCAGCCAUCAUUUAAAGAAAGCGUAAUAGCUCACUGGUCGAGUCGGCCUGCGCGGAAGAUGUAACGGGGCUAAACCAUGCACCGAAGCUGCGGCAGCGACGCUUAUGCGUUGUUGGGUAGGGGAGCGUUCUGUAAGCCUGCGAAGGUGUGCUGUGAGGCAUGCUAGAGGUAUCAGAAGUGCGAAUGCUGACAUAAGUAACGAUAAAGCGGGUGAAAAGCCCGCUCGCCGGAAGACCAAGGGUUCCUGUCCAACGUUAAUCGGGGCAGGGUGAGUCGACCCCUAAGGCGAGGCCGAAAGGCGUAGUCGAUGGGAAACAGGUUAAUAUUCCUGUACUUGGUGUUACUGCGAAGGGGGGACGGAGAAGGCUAUGUUGGCCGGGCGACGGUUGUCCCGGUUUAAGCGUGUAGGCUGGUUUUCCAGGCAAAUCCGGAAAAUCAAGGCUGAGGCGUGAUGACGAGGCACUACGGUGCUGAAGCAACAAAUGCCCUGCUUCCAGGAAAAGCCUCUAAGCAUCAGGUAACAUCAAAUCGUACCCCAAACCGACACAGGUGGUCAGGUAGAGAAUACCAAGGCGCUUGAGAGAACUCGGGUGAAGGAACUAGGCAAAAUGGUGCCGUAACUUCGGGAGAAGGCACGCUGAUACGUAGGUGAAGCGCCUCGCGCGUGGAGCUGAAAUCAGUCGAAGAUACCAGCUGGCUGCAACUGUUUAUUAAAAACACAGCACUGUGCAAACACGAAAGUGGACGUAUACGGUGUGACGCCUGCCCGGUGCCGGAAGGUUAAUUGAUGGGGUUAGCGGUAACGCGAAGCUCUUGAUCGAAGCCCCGGUAAACGGCGGCCGUAACUAUAACGGUCCUAAGGUAGCGAAAUUCCUUGUCGGGUAAGUUCCGACCUGCACGAAUGGCGUAAUGAUGGCCAGGCUGUCUCCACCCGAGACUCAGUGAAAUUGAACUCGCUGUGAAGAUGCAGUGUACCCGCGGCAAGACGGAAAGACCCCGUGAACCUUUACUAUAGCUUGACACUGAACAUUGAGCCUUGAUGUGUAGGAUAGGUGGGAGGCUUUGAAGUGUGGACGCCAGUCUGCAUGGAGCCGACCUUGAAAUACCACCCUUUAAUGUUUGAUGUUCUAACGUUGGCCCCUAAUCGGGGUUGCGGACAGUGUCUGGUGGGUAGUUUGACUGGGGCGGUCUCCUCCUAAAGAGUAACGGAGGAGCACGAAGGUUGGCUAAUCCUGGUCGGACAUCAGGAGGUUAGUGCAAUGGCAUAAGCCAGCUUGACUGCGAGCGUGACGGCGCGAGCAGGUGCGAAAGCAGGUCAUAGUGAUCCGGUGGUUCUGAAUGGAAGGGCCAUCGCUCAACGGAUAAAAGGUACUCCGGGGAUAACAGGCUGAUACCGCCCAAGAGUUCAUAUCGACGGCGGUGUUUGGCACCUCGAUGUCGGCUCAUCACAUCCUGGGGCUGAAGUAGGUCCCAAGGGUAUGGCUGUUCGCCAUUUAAAGUGGUACGCGAGCUGGGUUUAGAACGUCGUGAGACAGUUCGGUCCCUAUCUGCCGUGGGCGCUGGAGAACUGAGGGGGGCUGCUCCUAGUACGAGAGGACCGGAGUGGACGCAUCACUGGUGUUCGGGUUGUCAUGCCAAUGGCACUGCCCGGUAGCUAAAUGCGGAAGAGAUAAGUGCUGAAAGCAUCUAAGCACGAAACUUGCCCCGAGAUGAGUUCUCCCUGACUCCCUGAGAGUCCUGAAGGAACGUUGAAGACGACGACGUUGAUAGGCCGGGUGUGUAAGCGCAGCGAUGCGUUGAGCUAACCGGUACUAAUGAACCGUGAGGCUUAACCUU
rnacentral:rRNA from 1 species